UGUAAACUGCUGCUCAGAAAGAGAGAAUUGAAUCAUGAAACACAUGGUUUGGUGAAAUGUAUGUGAUCCAUCCAGCGUGAAGAGCAACCGCAACUUUCACAGUCUCCUCCCACCCAAGCUUCUCAGGAGUGAAGGCUCCUCUCAGAGAGAUCGACAUCAGGAUGAGAAGUGUCACUCGCCGGCCGAUACUGAGAGAACACCAGAAGAACUGGGAUGGAACACUAGCCAGUUUUCUCUGGCAGGUAGGUUAGGAGGCCUGCAGCAUGGAUGGUAGCUGCUGUCUGCUGCCUGUUCCUAUCUGCCUUGCUGUCCUGUGUAAAGCACCACCUCAUCUUCACAUCUGGCACUGGGCCACUAGCCCCUCCACCCAGCCGCUCUGGAAGCCUCUGCAACACCAGCUCAGAUUAGAGACAUCUGAGUCAUUCCACUUUAUCAGCAUGAAUGCAGCUGCUCACUCUCAUGUACAGAUGAGAUAAUUACACAGAUUCCACCGAGUGUCGAUGAACCAGGCUUAGGCUGGCCAAGCUGAAGGAACAGCUUCACAGCACAGUGGAUACCUACAAUGCAUACACACAGUAGAUACACACCCUGUAGAUACACACAGUGGGUACACACAGUGGAUGUACACAGUAGACACACACAGUGGAUACUCAAAGUAGCUACACACAGUAGAGGCAAACAGUGGAUGCACAUAAGCAAGCCACUUUGCUGAAUCCAGCUUGAGGCCACUCAUACAGAUAGAGCGAUCUUUUAUAUGUGCACCACUGCUAUGGUAACCACAGCAGCAAAAAAGAGAUCAUACAGAGAAAGGAUGAAAGCAGGGGUUAUGGGCUCC